UGGGAGUAAUAUAGAUACAUCACAUCACCUGUUACCAUGGCAAUGUGAUCACGAAUUCUCCCUAAAAUAUCCGUGCCCUCUGAUGACUACAAGGUCAGAAGGAAAUCUUGUGGACAGAUACGGGGCAGACAUAA